rnacentral:rRNA from 1 species
UAUUGGUCAAUGGGCGCGAGCCUGAACCAGCCAAGUCGCGUGAGGGAAGACGGUCCUACGGAUUGUAAACCUCUUUUGCCGGGGAGCAAGCGUGCGUUCGUGAACGCGCGUCGAGAGUACCCGGAGAAAAAGCAUCGGCUAACUCCGUGCCAGCAGCCGCGGUAAUACGGAGGAUGCGAGCGUUAUCCGGAUUUAUUGGGUUUAAAGGGUGCGUAGGCGGGAUGCCAAGUCAGCGGUAAAAAUGCGGUGCUCAACGCCGUCGAGCCGUUGAAACUGGCGUUCUUGAGUGGGCGAGAAGUAUGCGGAAUGCGUGGUGUAGCGGUGAAAUGCAUAGAUAUCACGCAGAACUCCGAUUGCGAAGGCAGCAUACCGGCGCUCAACUGACGCUGAGGCACGAAAGCGUGGGGAUCGGACAGG